rnacentral:sRNA from 1 species
UUAUUUUUUGACAAUUUUAUCAUGUCUUUUUAAACAAUUAAGGAAUGCAGACCUCUGUUGUUUCUUCUUUUUGAGGUUGUGAUUCUUUCUCGGUGGGUGCAGUCCCAUUAUCUUCAUCAUCUGACAAAAUUACAUAUGCUUCUUGAUCUUCAGUCUCAUCAUGUUCAUCAUGUUCUUCUACGUUUUCUUCUUUUGGAACCUGUAAACCAAAACAUCAAAACAAAUUUUUAUUUUUUGACAAUUUUAUCAUGUCUUUUUAAACAAUUAAGGAAUGCAAACCUCUGUUGUUUCUUCUUUUUGAGGUUGUGAUUCUUUCUCUGUGGGUGUAGUCCCAUUAUCUUCAUCAUCUGACAAAAUUACAUAUGCUUCUUGAUCUUCAGUCUCAUCAUGUUCAUCAUGUUCUUCUACGCUUUCUUCUUUUAAAACCUAUAAACCAAAACAUCAAAACAAAAUUUUUAUUUUUUGACAAUUUUAUCAUGUCUUUUUAAAAAGUUAAGGAAAGCAGACAUUUGUUUCUUUUU